rnacentral:lncRNA from 9 species
AGAACACCUGCUCUGGCAAUAGGCCACGGGCAGGGCUGCUUUAUAGCGAUCAGCUGGGAGCAGUUGGGGCCGAGCCCUUCAUGUCUCGGGCUGUCCACACUCCAAGCGCGGUGCGGGCGCCCAGGCCUCCAUCUUGCAUCUCACUGUGAGCCCGGCGCUUGCGCACACAGCUUGCCUGCUAUGCUGAGGGGUGGGUGCAGCCGCUUGCCACGAGGAGGAGCUCUGGUCUGAAGCCCCUGGUGCGAGGUCUCUGCUCAGACCACCCUGUGAGCAAGUGAAACUCAACCAAGCACGAAGGAAAGAAAGGAAUUAGCCAUGACUGAGAUGAACACUGAGUAGCCAGAACAAGGCCAAGAUGAAAAAAGCUGAUUGUAUUCAUGACUGACUGGGACAGAAUGCAGGCUCUUACAAAGUCUAGAAGACCACCCACUAAGGCAAAUGACGAAUCUAGAGGACAUGAAGUAAGGAUCAUAACUGAAGUUGUGGAGCCAGUAAUUUAGAGCUGGGAAGACAAGAUUACAGCAAAAGCAACUGGAAUUGAUAAGGGAACAUGAGAUUGGGAGAGAUAGUCCUGAGUGACAUUGCACAUUGGCUGGUGUUUGGGGAUUACCCUUGUGAGCUGGCAGGAGCAUGAAGCAAGGCUUUGUCUUCCAGCACCCCAGUGGUGGGAGAUAACGAUUUAAGUGUUUGGAAGCCAAGUUAAGUGAAAAUCUUCUUGGUACCUCGGGAGAGAGGCCAAUAGGACACCGAGUGAAGCCUAAAUAAUGCUGCAGGAUGUUGGGAUAAAGAGCUGGUUUAGUCUCCUGGGUUUGUAGACAUUGUUUUUGCUUCAGGGCUGUGAACAAGAUGCUAAAAUACAUUGCUGAUCCCUUGCCUCUGGGAGCUACAUCAGGGCUUAAACUUGAUUGAAGCACCCAACACCUGGAAAUAUUUUUAUCCUCUUCACUCCAGGCUGGAUUUGAACUGCUGACUUGGAGGCGAAAUGUUCUACAGCCCAAAUCCAAUCCAUGGAGCCAAUUAAGCUCCUUCCUCAUACAUUUCUUUGUGCUCUGUUUUGAAAAGAGAUUUUUAAGUGAUCUUAAGGAAAAAUAGGAUGUUGUUUCUACGGUUACCAUUGAUGGAAAUAUUGAUGUGAUGUAGUUUGUCUAGAGUUUUUCUCUUUUGUUAAAUAAAAAGCGUAAAUUAGCCUGUGUAUGUAAACCAAAAACAAAAAGGUAGGCCAAAAUCAAAAGAGGUGAUCAUUUGGUUAUACAUUUUUGCACAAAAGAAACAGAUAAAUUUUCUCAAAAGACUUGGCAGCCGUGCUAUUCAUAAAUGUGUGUUCAACAGAUAGUCUAGUUGCCUCACUUGUAGCUGGAGGACAUGCUGGUCCUUUCACAUCAUUUACCCAUUUGCUGAGUUUUUGAGUAGACAGUGAGACUGUAUUUCAAACCCGAGGAUUGCUUGCCAUAAACAUGGCUUCUGUCUCCCUGACAAAUGUUUUAUUAUCCCUUCUGUCUGGAUUCCUACUUUGUUCAGUCAGUUGUGUGUCUUUGUAGAGUUCAUAAGUUUCAAUGAUGGUUCUCAGAAUAUUUUUUAAACACUUCAGUUAAAAUAGCUCUUCAAAAAUCAACUAGUAUUUUCUAUAUUUCUUUAUGAGUGAAGAUGAUAAACUGGACACAGUUCUGUGACUUCUGUGCACUGGAAUAUAAUAAUUUAUGUCUGUAUAGCAUUUCUCUUUCAUGCAUAUCAAUGCACAAGUUACAGUCACUUGGUUACGUGGGUAAAGCAUUCAUUCAUUCAUUCUUUCAUUUGCAUUUACUUGUUCAUAUACUUAUUGAGUACUGAUAGGUCAGGCAUUGAGCUAGGUUCCAGGUAUAAGAAAUAUGAAAAACACCAUCCUUGUCUUCUAGAAGCUUCUAGAUGGUCCCUUCUUAUGGGAGCUAAAGUAAUUUAAUACUGUAAAUUGUCUAUACAAAGUGUAGAUGGGGAGCAGGGACAGGUUGCUAAAGCUGGAUUGGAUGAACAGGAAAAUAUUUCAAAAAGAAGAAGAAUUUAGAGUAAGAUAUGAAAAGAAAAAUGUUUUUCACACAGAUUGAGGGAGGAUAUUGACACUAGAGUACUAUGACCAUGGUUGUAUAGAUGAGGAAACUAAGAUUAAAAGACUUUUCAAGGUCAUGAGGAUGGUAGAUGAGAUUUCAGGUACUUGGACUGAGAUGUUUCAUUCUGUUGCCAUUGCACUCCACUACACCAAUCAACACUUCAUAGAGACUUUUCAAAUCUUCAUAAUUCUAUAAAGCAAGAGGUAUAUACGAUUACCUUUUUUGGGGGGGGCGGAGGUUGAGGGCUGCACCUGCAGUAUGUAAAAAUUCCCGAGCCAGGGAUUGAACCCUAGCCACUGAAAUGACAAUGCCAGGUCCUUAACCUGCUGCAUCACAUGGGAACUCCAAGUCAUCUUGCUUGAGCAUGAGAAGGCAUUUAAAAUCUGGGGAGAGAGAGAGGAGUUCCCGUCAUGGCUCAGUGGUUAACAUAUCAGACUAGGAACCAUGAGGUUGCGGGUUCGAUCCCUGGCCUUGCUCAGUGGGUUAAAGAUCCCGCAUUGCUGUGGCUGUGGUGUAGGCCGGCAGCUACAGCUCCGAUUAGACUCCUAGCCUGGGAACCUCCAUAUGCUGCAGAAGCAGUCCUAGAAAAGGCCAAAAAAAAAAAAAAAAAAAA